UCUUGACUAGUAUAUCGGUUCAGUACACCCGCUUGUCAUCCGAUGUCGAGCGCGGGAGAGCUGGGUUCGACUCCCAGGUCGAGAG